rnacentral:tRNA from 4 species
GGGUGUAUAGCUCAGUUGGUAGAGCAGCUGACUCUUAAUCAGCGGGUCACAGGUUCGAGCCCUGUUACACCCACCA